rnacentral:rRNA from 1 species
AUGAACGCUAGCUACAGGCUUAACACAUGCAAGUCGAGGGGCAGCAUGGUCUUAGCUUGCUAAGGCCGAUGGCGACCGGCGCACGGGUGAGUAACACGUAUCCAACCUGCCGUCUACUCUUGGACAGCCUUCUGAAAGGAAGAUUAAUACAAGAUGGCAUCAUGAGUCCGCAUGUUCACAUGAUUAAAGGUAUUCCGGUAGACGAUGGGGAUGCGUUCCAUUAGAUAGUAGGCGGGGUAACGGCCCACCUAGUCUUCGAUGUAUAGGGGUUCUGAGAGGAAGGUCCCCCACAUUGGAACUGAGACACGGUCCAAACUCCUACGGGAGGCAGCAGUGAGGAAUAUUGGUCAAUGGGCGAGAGCCUGAACCAGCCAAGUAGCGUGAAGGAUGACUGCCCUAUGGGUUGUAAACUUCUUUUAUAAAGGAAUAAAGUCGGGUAUGCAUACCCGUUUGCAUGUACUUUAUGAAUAAGGAUCGGCUAACUCCGUGCCAGCAGCCGCGGUAAUACGGAGGAUCCGAGCGUUAUCCGGAUUUAUUGGGUUUAAAGGGAGCGUAGAUGGAUGUUUAAGUCAGUUGUGAAAGUUUGCGGCUCAACCGUAAAAUUGCAGUUGAUACUGGAUAUCUUGAGUGCAGUUGAGGCAGGCGGAAUUCGUGGUGUAGCGGUGAAAUGCUUAGAUAUCACGAAGAACUCCGAUUGCGAAGGCAGCCUGCUAAGCUGCAACUGACAUUGAGGCUCGAAAGUGUGGGUAUCAAACAGGAUUAGAUACCCUGGUAGUCCACACGGUAAACGAUGAAUACUCGCUGUUUGCGAUAUACGGCAAGCGGCCAAGCGAAAGCGUUAAGUAUUCCACCUGGGGAGUACGCCGGCAACGGUGAAACUCAAAGGAAUUGACGGGGGCCCGCACAAGCGGAGGAACAUGUGGUUUAAUUCGAUGAUACGCGAGGAACCUUACCCGGGCUUAAAUUGCAGAUGAAUUACGGUGAAAGCCGUAAGCCGCAAGGCAUCUGUGAAGGUGCUGCAUGGUUGUCGUCAGCUCGUGCCGUGAGGUGUCGGCUUAAGUGCCAUAACGAGCGCAACCCUUGUUGUCAGUUAAUAACAGGUCAUGCUGAGGACUCUGACAAGACUGCCAUCGUAAGAUGUGAGGAAGGUGGGGAUGACGUCAAAUCAGCACGGCCCUUACGUCCGGGGCUACACACGUGUUACAAUGGGGGGUACAGAGGGCCGCUACCACGCGAGUGGAUGCCAAUCCCAAAAACCUCUCUCAGUUCGGACUGGAGUCUGCAACCCGACUCCACGAAGCUGGAUUCGCUAGUAAUCGCGCAUCAGCCACGGCGCGGUGAAUACGUUCCCGGGCCUUGUACACACCGCCCGUCAAGCCAUGGGAGCCGGGGGUACCUGAAGUGCGUAACCGCGAGGAGCGCCCUAGGGUAAAACUGGUGACUGGGGCU